UUGAACGCUGGCGGCAGGCCUAACACAUGCAAGUCGAGCGGUAGCACAGAGAGCUUGCUCUCGGGUGACGAGCGGCGGACGGGUGAGUAAUGUCUGGGAAACUGCCUGAUGGAGGGGGAUAACCACUGGAAACGGUAGCUAAUACCGCAUAACGUCGCAAGACCAAAGUGGGGGACCUUCGGGCCUCAUGCCAUCAGAUGUGCCCAGAUGGGAUUAGCUAGUAGGUGGGGUAACGGCUCACCUAGGCGACGAUCCCUAGCUGGUCUGAGAGGAUGACCAGCCACACUGGAACUGAGACACGGUCCAGACUCCUACGGGAGGCAGCAGUGGGGAAUAUUGCACAAUGGGCGCAAGCCUGAUGCAGCCAUGCCGCGUGUGUGAAGAAGGCCUUCGGGUUGUAAAGCACUUUCAGCGGGGAGGAAGGCGGUGAGGUUAAUAACCUCACCGAUUGACGUUACCCGCAGAAGAAGCACCGGCUAACUCCGUGCCAGCAGCCGCGGUAAUACGGAGGGUGCAAGCGCUAAUCGGAAUUACUGGGCGUAAAGCGCACGCAGGCGGUCUGUCAAGUCGGAUGUGAAAUCCCCGGGCUCAACCUGGGAACUGCAUUCGGAACUGGCAGGCUAGAGUCUUGUAGAGGGGGGUAGAAUUCCAGGUGUAGCGGUGAAAUGCGUAGAGAUCUGGAGGAAUACCGGUGGCGAAGGCGGCCCCCUGGACAAAGACUGACGCUCAGGUGCGAAAGCGUGGGGAGCAAACAGGAUUAGAUACCCUGGUAGUCCACGCUGUAAACGAUGUCGAUUUGGAGGUUGUGCCCUUGAGGCGUGGCUUCCGGAGCUAACGCGUUAAAUCGACCGCCUGGGGAGUACGGCCGCAAGGUUAAAACUCAAAUGAAUUGACGGGGGCCCGCACAAGCGGUGGAGCAUGUGGUUUAAUUCGAUGCAACGCGAAGAACCUUACCUGGUCUUGACAUCCACAGAACUUAGCAGAGAUGCUUUGGUGCCUUCGGGAACUGUGAGACAGGUGCUGCAUGGCUGUCGUCAGCUCGUGUUGUGAAAUGUUGGGUUAAGUCCCGCAACGAGCGCAACCCUUAUCCUUUGUUGCCAGCGGUCCGGCCGGGAACUCAAAGGAGACUGCCAGUGAUAAACUGGAGGAAGGUGGGGAUGACGUCAAGUCAUCAUGGCCCUUACGACCAGGGCUACACACGUGCUACAAUGGCAUAUACAAAGAGAAGCGACCUCGCGAGAGCAAGCGGACCUCAUAAAGUAUGUCGUAGUCCGGAUUGGAGUCUGCAACUCGACUCCAUGAAGUCGGAAUCGCUAGUAAUCGUAGAUCAGAAUGCUACGGUGAAUACGUUCCCGGGCCUUGUACACACCGCCCGUCACACCAUGGGAGUGGGUUGCAAAAGAAGUAGGUAGCUUAACCUUCGGGAGGGCGCUUACCACUUUGUGAUUCAUGACUGGGGUG
rnacentral:rRNA from 1 species